GUGGUAUUGGCUGUGUUGGCACGAUUUUCAGUCAGAUCGGUGGUAUUUUAUCUCUAGAGAAGUGAGCCCUGUUUGGAUCAGCACUGGUCUUGAACAACGAGCUGGCAUCCAAGGUCGAGCACUGCGACCGCCGCCGCGGCAGAGCGGCGCGCCCACCUCGAACAUCUUGACGGCGUUGUGGACGGUGGCGCAUCGGUCGAACUCGUCGAGGCGCCAGGAGCCCCUGCGGGCGCCCUUGCGGCGGUACUCGGACGAAGAGGAGGCGGCGCAGGCGAGCUCCGGAACACCGUGUCGCGGUUCUCCCGCGCCGUCUCGCACUCCGGGUGCCUCAGGCAGGCCUGCGGACAGCCGGGACACACCCGUCACCCCUCCCUGCGCCACACCGUCCGCAGUGGCGCCGGGCAGCGCACGCGAUCGCGUCGCGGGAAAGGCAAGAGCCACGUCGGCGAUCUGGCUCUCGUCGUCCGGCCAGAUGAACUUCCUUGUUUGGUUUGGCCUUUGCUGCGCGAAGCAGCAGCGAGCUCUUUGCUAAGGCCCGUUCACGUUUUGCCACUACAACUGCAGUGCACAGGUGGCACCUGCUGGCGCCGCCCCGCACCUGCUUGUGCACUGUUGGAAGAAUAGGGCCGUCAUAAAUGUUUUUCACGCAUCAUUUUUGUGUGUGUGCCUGCAAAGUAUACCCUGUACACGAAGAUCUCUGCCAAGCGUGACUGCCUCGUGCGUCGCGGGGAACUCGCCUGACGAGCAGAAAGUAACAUCAUUACAUCGCUCGCGCAAUCUCCAAAGGCCCUUCCUUGACUUUAAAGCAUUCACUUUGUUGUACUGACUGUGGCUUGGCGUCGCGUUUACAAAGUCAUACUCGUUUACAAUUGUAUGGGCCGACAGCCUUACCGGGCCCUGGCUGCGGCUAUAACGAAAAAACCGUACGUCUUCUGUGCAUUGAUCGGUCCACGUUAGCUGGUGUGGAAAGGCAGGUGUGCUACAUGUGUACAGCGUUAGACACCGGACAGCCGGCCGCUGUCAGAGCAAAGGCUACUAUAGACUGUGGUCGCAACGGACAUAUGCGCUAACGGCAGCAAUAACGUUAGUUUGCUUCCUGUCAAACGGAAAUCGGCGCACUAUGUUUUGAAGCGGCAGACGUCACCAUGACAACCUAUCUCGCAAGCCCGUAUAUAGACUAGACAGCAGGAAGUGAACUAGCGCUGUGGCUGCCUUUAGGCGCACACGUUCCUUGGGACCACUGUCCUGGAGCAUUUUUUGCUUUGUCAAUGGACGGCCCUCCAGUGCCUCUAAUACGAUAAACAUGUAACACUCGCGCUUCCGUAGUCAUAUUUCUCCCUUCGUAUCUCUUUAAAUAAAAGGGCUCUUCGCGCUUACUUCUAAUCGAGUGUUCCGAUGUCAGAAGGAAAUGACAUGCCCCGGAGAGAAGCGAGAUGCCGACGUGUACCAUCGCAGAAGUGAAAUAUAACGCGCGAUAGUCAAGCAUAUAUACAUCGCGGCAUUCUCAUAUUCACAAUAUACAUGGUCUUAUUCUGCCUUAGUUGCUAAACACUUUGCCUGUG